rnacentral:rRNA from 1 species
GAUCAUGGCUCAGGACGAACGCUGGCGGCGUGCUUAACACAUGCAAGUCGAACGGAAAGGCCCUGCUUUUGUGGGGUGCUCGAGUGGCGAACGGGUGAGUAACACGUGAGUAACCUGCCCUUGACUUUGGGAUAACUUCAGGAAACUGGGGCUAAUACCGGAUAGGAGCUCCUGCUGCAUGGUGGGGGUUGGAAAGUUUCGGCGGUUGGGGAUGGACUCGCGGCUUAUCAGCUUGUUGGUGGGGUAGUGCUU